GACCUACCUUCCAUCAUUUCACCCGCACCCUUCGGGUAUGUGUAGAGGACCUUCCUGGGCGGUAUGAGCUCUGAGGCGCUGAACCCCGAGCCUGUCACUGAACUUCCACUCACUCCUCCCGCAGAGGACGACGAAGAGGACGCGGCCAUGGUCUUGGCUAUAGCCACAACAUUGAAAAACAAAUUUGAAAUAGUCAGUUAUUCCAGCUUAUAUGUUUUAAAAAACGGACAAAUGUGGAUGUGAUAUAGGGAGCAGGCUAGCAGCUAGCUAGUGCCACCUGAAUUGUUUAGCAAUUAAGAUAGCGUAUUGUCAGUCGUUGAUGGGGGAAACCAUACAAUAUUAUCAACAGAAAAGUACCCGCUUAUUACUUCACAUAUCACUUACCUUAUUUUACUGGGGAUGCAUUUACUGUAGUUCUCAGUGUUGUUUACCCAUAGGCUACUUCUUCUUUUUUUAUUUGGCACGACUUUUGAGUUGCUGCCCCCCACAGCUUAUUAAAGGACCUACAACUUAUUUUCCAUCGACUUGCGACAAUAGAGAUUCACUUUACGUUUGAGCUAAUGCGCAAACCUUGGACACGCAAUCUUUUGACAACGUUGGAAAAUCCUCUGGCCGAUCCCUUCGGUUGAAGAUCUACAAAAACACGACGUCAUGGUGUCGCAAAAAACGCUGGAUCCAGUCACUUUUAUCGUAAAUCGACUUUUAGCCAGCCGCUUCUUAUGGUUCUUACCAAUGCAAGCAAUUUUUUAUUAUGGAUGUUUUACGCCCAGCACUUAUAAAUAUAAAUGGCAGAAUAUAUAGACGAAACGCAAUUAAAGAAGAAAACUACGAAGAAAAGGAAGAUGACUUUUACCAAGACGAAAGACCAGAAUAUGAAGAAUUGGAAACUGAUGAAGUCUGUGAAAGCCACUUGAUUGAACAGACGGACAAAGGUUUCCGCUGUGCCAUUGAUGUCCCAAGUGUCCUCUACAAAUACAUUAUUGGAAAGAAGGGAGAGACACGCAGGCGUAUUGAGUCUGACACAAAGACAUCUAUCACAAUUCCCAAGCUGGGUAUUGAAGGAGAAAUUGUUGUCACCGGUGCUCAGAAGAACGCCAUCUCCUCCGCCGUCACGCGACUGGAGAUGCUGAUAGACGGCUUCCGCAGGAAGCAGCCUUUCACCCACUUCCUGUCCUUUGCUCUCAAUGACUCCCAGGUUCAAGAGGGAUUCCACGCAUUCAAAGCCAAGGUUUUGGAGCAGUUUUCCCAGGAUAGCGGGGUGGACGACAGCAUCUUCCAGAACCCUUCCAAGCUCCACCUGACCUUGGGCACUCUGGUGCUGCUGAACGAAACAGAGGUGAACAAGGCAUGCGACCACCUCCAGGAGUUUCGACAUGUUAUCAAGGACCUCACGGAAGGUAAGCCUCUGCCCCUGGAGGUGAUGGGCAUCGAGUACAUGAACGACGACCCUGCCGCGGUGGACGUAUUGUACGCCAAGGUCAACCUGAAAGAUGGUUCCGACAGGCUCCAGGUAAUGGCCGACCGGCUAGUGGAGCACUUUGUCUCGGCCGGCCUGAUGGUGAGAGAGUGGGACAGGGUGAAGCUGCAUGGCACGGUGAUGAACACCCUGUUCAGGAAGGACAGCACAGCCGAAGACGGUGGUGGCCCGGGACGAAGGAACCCACGGGACAGGGAGGCGUUCGAUGCCAGGAACAUACUAAAGACGUUUGGAAGCCAUCGCUUCGGAGAGUUUGACCUGAGUUGCGUGCAGCUGUCCCAGAGAUUCUCCACAGAUUGCGCAGGCUACUAUUCCAGUGCUGGAAGUGUCAGCUUUGCCUGAGGAUCCGCAGACUACUCACCAUCCAGCCAGAACCCAUGCCCAGCCUCCUCCUACACAACACCUCCUACCCACUGGCCGUCUGUCGAGCAUGACAUUGAAAAAUCGAACAAUAUUGACGAGGACGGAAGGCAAUCUGCGUGCUUCAGUUUUUUGAAGCAACUGUAUCCAAUCCAUCAAACAAACCAUGUACCAAGGUGUGGCCAACAAAAACACCAUCCUUUCUGUUAUGUUACAGAAUAAGCUGGAGAUGUGAUUCAGUUUGAAGAACUGGAACUUCAACAAAUCAAUAGACGUACAACAAAUGAUUGUAAAGUACUUAUUUUCAAUCUAAUAAAUACAACGCACGCAUAUUUAUCGUCAUUCAUACUGUCGAUACAAAAGGUGCCAUAUUUUGAAUGUCUUCUGAAAUCUCGGACAUAAAAACAACAUUUUGCGCACAAAGAAAGCUUCCAAUCUUUUCCAGUCACAAUUAAUUGCUGGGUAUUGUGUGUUUCUGCAGUAAUCCCUAGAUAAGAACUGGUCAAACAUGCACCGCCCGAUAAGAAAACAAGCUUGAUUGGGAGAGUUAGGCUUGCACAAAUAACGAAUAGCAACGCUGUAUUUCUUUGAUUCACAUCUGGUAGCGGGCAGAUGUUUACCCAUAAACAAGCAAGUGAACGUACAAAGAGAAACAGUUUCCCUGUUUCUCUUUUCAAACAAGCUUUCCCUUCUCCCAUUGGAACCAGUUUGGUCCCUUGGGAACAGAAUAGAUUUGAAUAGAUUCUGUGAUGGAUGAUAUACAUUAAUACAAUCCUUACCGUCAUUGUAUCAUGCAGAGAUGUCAUGCAGAGGUUUAUCAUACAUACUGGCAACCAGCCCUCGUGCAAAAAAAUUCUAAUUCAAGCAUACAAGGUGCCGUUUUUAUGGGACCACACUAAUGUCCCUUCCUGUGCUGCUGCUCUCUGUGGAAAUAUAUGACUUUGAUGGAUGGGCAUGUGCAUGAGCCCGAGCCUUAUCUACCGACUUCGUGUGAAGAUGGUAGUGAUGUAAAUUGUAUGGAGUACAGUUCAGUAUAGCCCAUAGAGUUAUCUUCAAGAACACAACAGCAGCCAAAACGCAGGUCCUCUUGAAGACGGAGCUAGUAUUGAGAGCUGAAUAUGACCGAGAUGUAGAUUCCCAGAUGACUGAUCAUGGUUUACAUCUUGUGUUAUCAUGGGUUAGAGGGAAGAUGAUUAUUAAAAAGUGUGUUUAUUUGAAAAUGGAUAUUUGAGGAGGAGAAGAGAAAAGCAGAGAGCCAGUUUGUCCUUUGGGCAUGCUCUGUGGUGGAUGUUAUAUUGAAUUGAGCCCAUGGCACCUUUUUAAAAAGGAGAACUAAACAGCAAUGUUUUCCCACAUUUUUUUAAAUCCCACGAUGCAAGCACGAAAAACUCAAUAAAUUGUACCCUUAAAUCUGCCUGGACCCUUUUGACCUGCACAAUGUAUUAUACACUUUCAAUAUAGCGCUAUAGUGAAGGAUAC